AUGCUCUCCUUUAUUCUUCAUUUAAUCUUACAUACAAAGUUGGCUAGUAAAUACUGUUUUUCAGGAGCACAGCAAAGAGAAUUUAAUCCCAGGUUCCAACAAGCACACAGAAGUUCUUUUGUUCCUCCAUAUCAUAAUCAGAUGAGGGGGUUCCUCUGGAGAAAUCCUCAACCACAAGGUAGAGAACAUAGAAUGGGAUAUCCAGACCGGAGGAGAAGAUUCCACCUUCCUCCUCGGUCGCCCAGAUGACCCUACUUAUUACUGGAAGUGAAUGAAAAUGGAUAAGAGAACAAGAUACAUUGUUAUGAAAGGCUGUAUGCUGAAGAUCCCAAAAACUUUAAGUAGUGGUGGUGGGAAGGCUCUAAUCAGAAUUUUAUCAUGCAUCAUUUUCAGUUAGGUUUUACUUUGUAUACAUUGGUUUUCUAGACUAUUGCUUACUGAAGUAAAUUAUGGAAUGUAACAAAACAAUUCUUAUGUAUUUUAGGCUUCAUACAGUAAGUAUUGUUUGGAGCACUUCAUAAAAUUGUUAUUGACAGAGUUAUACAAUGAUUAAAAAAUUUGUAAUUAAAAAAUCAUGCCUAAAAAGCAGAAGCCAAUCCUAGGGGUUAAAAGGCUGCACAAAUUUAAUUAAUUCACCUAGUUCUAUUGGAAAAACUGUUAUGCCUCUU
rnacentral:lncRNA from 1 species